AAUAAAAAAUGAAAAUUACUCCACAACAAGAAAAAAAGAGUGGGGUUAGAUCUGAAAAAUACCUUUAAUGGUUUGAUAAUGGAAUCGUAAAGGAUAAAUUGGGGGGUAAGCUCCACCAAGAGAGAGCCCUCUUCUAAUGCUUAUUUUUCUUCUUU